UACGUAGGGGGCAAGCGUUGUCCGGAAUCAUUGGGCGUAAAGAGCGUGUAGGCGGCCAGAUAAGUCCGCUGUGAAAACUCGAGGCUCAACCUCGAGACGCCGGUGGAAACCAUCAGGCUAGAGUCCGGAAGAGGAGAGUGGAAUUCCUGGUGUAGCGGUGAAAUGCGCAGAUAUCAGGAAGAACACCCGUGGCUAAGGCGGCUCUCUAGUACGGUACUGACGCUGAGACGCGAAAGCGUGGGGAGCGAACAGG
rnacentral:rRNA from 1 species